AACGAACGCUGGCGGCAUGCCUAACACUUGCAAGUCGAACGAGAUCUUCGGGUCUAGUGGCGCACGGGUGCGUAACGCGUGGGAAUCUGCCCUUUGGUUCGGAAUAACAGUUGGAAACGACUGCUAAUACCGGAUGAUGACGAAAGUCCAAAGAUUUAUCGCCAGAGGAUGAGCCCGCGUAGGAUUAGCUAGUUGGCGUGGUAAAGGCGCACCAAGGCGACGAUCCUUAGCUGGUUUGAGAGGAUGAUCAGCCACACUGGGACUGAGACACGGCUCAGACUCCUACGGGAGGCAGCAGUGGGGAAUAUUGGACAAUGGGCGAAAGCCUGAUCCAGCAAUGCCGCGUGAGUGAUGAAGGCCUUAGGGUUGUAAAGCUCUUUUACCCGGGAUGAUAAUGACAGUACCGGGAGAAUAAGCUCCGGCUAACUCCGUGCCAGCCGCCGCCGUAA
rnacentral:rRNA from 1 species